AAGGAGGGCGCUUACCACGGUGGGAUUCAUGACUGGGGUGAAGUCGUAACAAGGUAGCCGUAUCGGAAGGUGCGGCUGGAUCACCUCCUUU
rnacentral:rRNA from 1 species